GAUACCGCCCUAGUUCUAACCAUAAACUAUGCCUGCCAGCGAUCCGCCGAAGUUCCUCCGAUGACUCGGCGGGCAGCUUCCGGGAAACCAGAGCUUUUGGGUUCCGGGGGAAGUAUGGUUGCAAAGCUGAAACUUAAAGGAAUUGACGGAAGGGCACCACCAGGAGUGGAGCCUGCGGCUUAAUUUGACUCAACACGGGAAAACUCACCAGGCCCGGACACCGGAAGGAUUGACAGAUUGAGAGCUCUUUCUUGAUUCGGUGGGUGGUGGUGCAUGGCCGUUCUUAGUUGGUGGAGCGAUUUGUCUGGUUAAUUCCGAUAACGAACGAGACUCUAGCCUACUAACUAGGCGUACCCGGUAUCCACAAUCGUGCUACCGGCGAUUAAAUUUCUUCUUAGAGGGACAGCGGCUUCUAGCCGCACGAGACUGAGCAAUAACAGGUCUGUGAUGCCCUUAGAUGUCCUGGGCCGCACGCGCGCUACACUGAAGGAAUCAGCGUGUCUUCCCUGUCCGAAAGGACCGGGUAACCCGCUGAACCUCCUUUGUGCUAGGGAUUGGGGCUUGCAAUUGUUCCCCAUGAACGAGGAAUUCCCAGUAAGCGCGAGUCAUAAGCUCGCGUUGAUACCGCCCUGCCCUUUGUACACACCG
rnacentral:rRNA from 1 species